rnacentral:ncRNA from 1 species
UUAAAUGCUGAGAAGGGAAAUAGUAACAUUUGUAGCUACGAUCAGAGAGUCGAUGGUUGGUGAGAAUCGAUGUAGUACUUUUGUGAAUCCAUCCCAGAGUAGAUUAUUGAACGAAGAUUUUUCUUCUAUUAGAUAAGUUCCGGUUCAUCUUCCGUUAAUAAGAUGCUAAGAGGUUAAGGAUAAUGUCCUUAACAACUAGGGUGGCAACGCGGGUUAACUCUCGUCCCUUUU